UGUGGAUGUAGCUCAGUUGGUAGAGUGCUUGCUUUGCAUGCACAAGGCCCUGGGUUCAAUUCCCAGCACCACAA
rnacentral:tRNA from 1 species